UACGGAGGGUGCAAGCGUUAUCCGGCCUUACUGGGUUUAAAGGGUGCGUAGGCGGCUUGAUAAGUCAGAGGUGAAAGCCUAUCGCUUAACGAUAGAAUUGCCUUUGAUACUGUAAAGCUUGAAAGGGGUUGAGGUCAGCAGAAUGUGGCAUGUAGCGGUGAAAUGCAUAGAUAUGCCAUAGAACACCGAUUGCGAAGGCAGCUGGCUGGGCCUACUUUGACGCUGAGGCACGAAAGCGUGGGGAGCGAACAGG
rnacentral:rRNA from 1 species